rnacentral:lncRNA from 1 species
GAGGGGAAGAUAAUUCAUAUGGAGCAUCACACCAGCUAUCUCCUGCUCCCUGUCCUGCACUGCAAAGGAGGCCUUUUCAUCCUCUCUACUGCCUCCAAUUUUUCUCACGAGGAAUGUGAGAGGAAAACCUAGAGCUUGUUCCUGAAGCAUGGUGCUAAGUCCAUAUGCAGCAGAUGGAGCUCAUGAGAAAAGAGUUGCUCUUGUGAAGACCAAAGCUUGGUGAGGUGUCAGAUCCCCGGCGAUGGAAAGCAGUCAACUCAUGGGUAGUAAAAAGAAUGUAUUGACAACACUAUAGGUUUGAAAAGGAAAGUUUUAUUAGAUGGAAAGAACAGUGCAGAAGACCGCAGCAGAGGACCUCAGCAAGAGAGAACUAAAAAUGGUCAAUUACAAAGCACAACAUAAGACUGGAACAUUGGAGUUAAGUAGCAGAGAUCAAAAGAGGAGAUUGCAGAUGGAGGUGUUGUAUGUGACUGUUUUACAUGGAUUCUUCGCUCUGGUAGCAGAUGUUGAAGAAGCUCUAUGAAUGUCCUGUCUCUAUGUCCCAGAAAAAGCAUUCCCAGAAGCACGGAGAAGUGAGGAGAAAAGGCAAUGCACCUGGAGCUGGAGACCAAGGCCCUGUUCUUACUGAUGGCCCUUGGAGCAGAUAUUUGAAUUGGAGAGAUAAAACCGUGGUUUUUGGGGUGUUAAUUUUGGUGGCUGAUGCAUUCUGUGAUUGAUUUGGCUAUUACAACUGGUAUUGAUUUUAAACACAUUAAUUGCAAAAUCUCAAUUGUGAUUUGAUUUCUGUAUUUACAAUACUAAAAACGAGGCUUUCGCCAGGAGAAGACAAUUGGCAGUACUCAGUUGGAAGUGCUUAAUUGUUAAUAUAUAUCAGCCGUGGUUCUUCAGCGUCGUCAGUGUUGCUCAGUCUUGCUCUUUGUGGCGACUACUGAAUGCUUGAAAAAUUCUCUCCUAUACUCCCACUCUGCACUGUAGAAGAGAAAGAGAGGAGAGUGGAAGAAAAAAGAGAGGGAGAGGAGAAAGAAAGAGAGGAGAGAGAAACAUGGGCAUGGAUGAUACAUAAGGUAGUUGUAAACUGUGAUCAGCUUUGAUAAUAACUAGAUAAAUUCUUUUAAUACAAAAAUAUAUAAGGCAUUUUGCCUUUUUUUCAAAUUUCAAAUAAAUGGAUUUGUAUAGAAUGUAG